GCUGGUCUCGAACUCCAGACCUUAAGUGAUCCACCUGCCUCAGCCUCUCAAAGUGCUGGGAUUACAGGUGUGAGCCACUGCGCCCAGCCUCUAACAUUCCUGUAAAGAGGUUGGAAGGCCCAUCCUGGCCCGCCACUUCAAGUCCCCACUGCUAGACUAUUCCUCAGGGACCCAGCACCCAACCCUUGGACUCUCCUUUCAGGACCCAGCGGGAAGCCCGGCCAGGAGACAGCGUCUCGCCACGUAGCCCAGGCUGGCCUUGAAAUCCUAGCCUCAAGCCAUCUUCCUGCCUCAGCCUCCCAAGUAGCUGGGAUCACAGGGGUGUGACAUCACACCUGGCAAUAUUCUUAACAUUGUUUUGUAACCGUUCCAGCCCCCAGAAAUUUCUCUCUGGCUGACUUGAUCCAUAGCGCCUCCAUCGCCAUCCCUGAGUGCCGUGUUGUGGAAAAUCUUACUUUAUCUCGGUUCUGUUUAGUAUAAUCAGGUGAAGUCUGUAUUCUUUUAUUAUGUAAAACAACUUAUCUCUCAUUGUUUCUCAGUGCUCCUUUCCGAGCUCUCAGUGCUCCUUUCCGAGCACUGCUCUGUCAGCCCUCUUUCCAAAACCAAAAUGUCUCUUCAAGGUUUUUCGUAAAUAAUAAUGGGCCAUCUACUUCUUAACAUAAAUAAAUGCUUUUCCAAGGUCAA